GUGCCCAUUCACCAAUUAUCUGUAAUUCUCUUUUUCCUUUCCUUGCCCUACUGUAACUAAAAGCAUCCUCAGGUGCAAACACCCUGACUGCAGAUGACCAUGGACCUGUAGCUGACCAAACACAGCAGGAACCAGCAGAGUGUGUGAGCCUUGCCUCUGAGGAGACCAACCCGGGCGAGCAGCUGCCGGGAGAGGAGACUUCGGCCACGACCCGGAGCGUGGAGGGGAAGACAGAGUCGGUCAGUAGAAGGGAGGAGCCAGAGGGCACCGAGCCCCUGCCUGCAGGAGAGGAGGAGAGCUCUGAGCUGCCCUCUGUGUGGCGAGAGGAGAGCACGGGGCCUUCACCGCCAGCGCCAGGACAAGAUGCUGGGGCACCAUCUCCAGAACCAGCAGAGGACAGUGGGCUGGUAGAGGGCAGUGACAGCUCUGUAGAGGAAGUCAUCAAGAAAGUACAUAUUACUGAAGAGGACCACCUCAUUGAGGGUGAGACGGGAGAACAGGUGGAAACUGAGCUGCUCAGUGAGACAGUAAGUGAAGGGCCUGAAACAAAAGAAGAAGAAACAGGAGAAGCUGUGGAUAGUGCAGCAGCGACAGAGAUAGGAUUUACUGUCCGUGAAGUGCCUGCCUCUAUGUCAAAUCUGACUGGAAGGAUGUAGUGAUUUCAAAAGUUGUUAAAAGGCAGCAGAGACAGCUAAUAACAAGGAAUAGAAGUUGUGUCUCAAUGAACAUCCUCUUCUUGGGCCUGCUCUUUUGUUCACAUGAAUAUUUAUAAAUCUAAUUGGGUUAGGAAAAUAUAAAGGCUUUUAUGGAUUGAACCACAAGCUACAGACACAUGAAUAGGAGGCAUUGGAAAAAGUUUUAUAUAAUACAGAUUUUUUGAAGUCAAGCAGCCAAGACCUUGAGUGUCUUUGAAAUAUCCAAACUUUCAUCUCCCUGCCAGAGUGCCUUCUUUACAUACCAGGAUAAUUUUUCAACAGCAGUAUGAUCAUUCCUUUUUCAAUUAGGAUUUUUUCCCAGAUUCAGAUUAACAGGCUUCAAACUGUUGAAACCUCCAACCAACAUUACAUAGAAUGAGGAAUAGAGUGUAGCUUUUUUCUCUUCAAUUAUUGUAUGUAGGCGGGUUUUCUGAGUGUCUGGACUACCAGUGUAGGGAGCUGCUGAAGUGUACAGCUCCUAGAGGACUGGGAGAGGAAAUUUACCAAGCUCUAACUCAAUGCAGAGGGGAGUUUUCCAGAAAAUAGGACAUAACAGAGUGCAGUGUCCAGGACCCAGAUGUGUGCUGCUCACUCCCCAUUUUAAAACUCAAAUUUAUUGAAGGGAUUGUAGUACAAUACAUGGGGCAUUUUUAACUGAGUGGGAGGUUUUAGUUGUAUAAAUCCUAGAAGAGAACUUCACAGCUGUUAACAUUCAUGGCCAAUAAUAACUUGUCUUUAGCUGUGAAGCUCUUCUCAUAUGCAUUUGUGGCUUCUAAAAUGGACUUCUAAGAGAGAAAAUACAAACCUGUCUAAGAGACAAAUAUAAGCCUGUUCCCAAAUAAAAGGUUAUCUAUUAUAUUUCCCUGGAGUGUU
ensembl:lncRNA